rnacentral:rRNA from 1 species
UACGAGGUGGGCAAAUGUUGUUCGGAAUCACUGGGCGUAAAGGGAGCGUAGGCGGGCUUCUAAGUUAGGUGUUUAAUCCCGGGGCCCAACCCCGGUCAGGCACCUAAAACUGGGAGUCUUGAAUAGUGGAGAGGUCAGUGGAAUUGGGGGUGUAGCGGUGGAAUGCGUAGAUAUCAUCUGGAACGCCAAUGGUGAAAACAGCUCGCUGGGGGUUUGCAGACGCUGAGACACGAAAGCCAGGGGAGCGAACGGG